AGACUCUCCAAAUAAACUCCUCGGAGCCGUUGUUGAUCGUUAGGUCAUGUUUCUGGACACCGGCUGCAGAGCGUCAGUCCCACAGAAACACAACGUGCCGCCGCCGCUGUGAGGUCCCAGACCUCCAGGAGUUACAUAACCUGAACAUGAUCGAGUGAUUAUGGAGACAUGGAUGUGAGCUGGUGGAGCUGCAGAGAGAGAGAGGAGGACGGAGCUCUGCUGGACUCUCUCUCUGAAAACACAGAGGAUUUCAGUGGAAACAGGUUUUUACAGAGUUACACCGACAGUUUCUACUUUUAUUUAUUCGUCUUUAUUUUGAGUAUCUGUUCAGGAGUUUUUUACUGUUUGUUCUUCAUGAAUCAUUCAGAGGAACCCUGAAUCAGAGAGGACAGGCCCAUCAUCCUUUAACCUCUCCCUGAAGGCUCCUCAGACCGUAGACCACAUCAGUGAUCUCAGAGUCUGUCCUGUUCGGUUAUAAAACUCAGAGUUUGGUUAAUCCAACUGGAGCGGCGCCUCUUUACAUCCACUAACAUUUACAAAUCCUGAAUUCUGAAGAAGCAAAUAACCUGUGUGUGUCUGCAGAGUCUGAGGCUGCGGUUUCAGGACUGUGAGGUUAAAGUUACUGUGAAGUUUGUGGUUCGACGCGACAAAAAUAAAACAGUCUUUACUGUCGAUGCACUGAGCUGCCAUCUUGGAUUAUGUUGUCGUCAAAUCAGGGUUGGCGAGGAUCGUCCGACUUUCCGAGUUGAUAAGCCGACUUCAGGAGCGCGUUCCAGAGGAAUUUCCGACUCGGAGCUCAGAAAUCUCGACUUCCGAGUACAAGUGGAACGCAGCACAAGAAACCAAAAGUUUUGAUGGUAAAAAACAAAAACUUAUUAUUUUAAUUUAAUUUGAACAAAAAUCCAACUGGAAAAAAAACAAAAAUAAAAACACAAAUUAAGACAGAGAAGACAGAGAGACACGGACAACGAACCGACACAGAAGGAGGGAAAAGGUUAGAAACUAUAAACAGAGAGAGAGAGAGAGAGAGAGAGAGAGAGAGAGAAAGAGAAGAAACAGGUGAAACAAACGAGGGAUUAAAAAAACUGGAGAGACGUGGAGAGGUGCGCCGCUUAACCGGCAACAAGUGUUCAGAAAAGUGACUCUGCGUGUUCUUCAGACUGUGAAUAUUUGACCGUUCAGAUCGGAGUGUAAAAAGGUGAAGGUCACGGUUGAUAUAAAACACAAUAAAAGGUCAAAAGGUCAGAGAAGCUCAAAAACACGGAGCGAACAUCUGAAGAUGAUCUGAGGAAGAAUUCGCCGUUAAACUCGUUCAGAUUUUGUUCCUAAAUUUCUCGAUAUUUAUGGAAAUGUCAGAAUUUGACUAAAAACAGACUUCAUCUUCAUCAUCAUCUUCAUCAUCAUCAUGUGUCAGAGUGUGUGUGAGUGUAAUCAGAGCUGUAAACACCGCUCUGACUUCAUUAUGUAACAUCUGGUCUUCUUCUCCAGCAGCUGUUUCGCUCCAGAACCAGGUCCACUCUCUGAGCCGUUAAAGGGAGAGUCCGCUCCGUUCUUUAUCCCUGAAGGUGACUCGCUGACGUCUGGUCCAGAUGUUUGAGGGAGA
rnacentral:lncRNA from 1 species